rnacentral:misc_RNA from 1 species
AAAAUACGAAAGGUAAUAUGAAUUGCAGAAACGAAUCAUCAACUUUUUGAACGCAACUUGCACUCUUUGGGUUAAAAUGCACAAGAGUGUGUCUGUUUGAGUAUCAUAAAAUCUUCAAAGUAAAUCUUUUGUUAACUCAAUUGGUUUCUACUUUGGUAUUGGAGGUCUUUGCAGCUUCACACCUGCUCCUCUUUGUUCAUUAGCUGGAUCUCAGUGUUAUGCUUGGUUCCACUCGGCGUGAUAAGUUAUCUAUCGCUGAGGACACUGUAAAAGGUGGCCAAGGUAAAUGCAGAUGAACCGCUUCUAAUAGUCCAUUGACUUGGACAAUACUUUUAUGAUCUGAUCUCAAAUCAGGUAGGACUACCCGCUGAACUUAAGC